rnacentral:snRNA from 1 species
GUGCUCACGUCCGCAGCACAUGUACUAAAAUUGAAAUGAUACGAAGAAGAUUAGCAUGGCCUCUGUACAAGGAUGACACACAAA